GAUGAAGAACGUAGCGAAAUGCGAUACUUGGUGUGAAUUGCAGAAUCCCGUGAACCAUCGAGUCUUUGAACGCAAGUUGCGCCCGAAGCCACUAGGCCGAGGGCACGCCUGCCUGGGCGUCACACGUCGUUGCCCCCCCCCCCAUCUACUCCUUCGGGAUUGCGGGGGGCGGAUGAUGGCCUCCCGUGCGCCUAGCCGCGCGGUUGGCAUAAAUACCAAGUCCUCGGCGACGCACGCCACGACAAUCGGUGGUGGCGAAACCUCGGUUGCCCGUCGUGUGCGUUCGUCGCGCAUCGAGGGCUCGAAAAAAUGCUCGGCUCCGGCUCGGCUUUCAACGUGACCCCAGGUCAGGCGGGGUUACCCGCUGAAUUUAAGCAUAUCAAUAAGCGGAGGA
rnacentral:misc_RNA from 1 species